rnacentral:rRNA from 1 species
CCAAUAGCGUAUAUUAAAGUUGUUGCAGUUAAAAAGCUCGUAGUUGAAUUUCGAGAUCAGUACGCUGGUCGUGCCUUCGGUAUGCACUGGUGUCACUGGUUUCUCCCUUCUGAAGAACCGUCAUGUCAUUAAGUUGGUGUGGCGGGGAAUCAGGACUGUUACUUUGAAAAAAUUAGAGUGUUUAAAGCAGGCUCGCGCUUGAAUACAUUA